AAAAAAGGUCUCCCAGCAGAACGCCCGCCGCACCAGAGAAAGGCGACCCGCCGGCGACCUCCUCCCGCGGGCGACCUCGGCCGGACGAUUCGAGGUCCGGCUGCGCCUCAGCUGAUCUCUCCACGUACUCCCCCAGCAUAACUAACUGCGUCUGGAGACGAGCGAGGGAAGGGAGUGGCGCCACCGGCGACCUCGGCCCACCGGAAGCCACCGAGGGUUGGUCCUGUUCCCAUUCCUGAAUCGCAAUGUGCAGAUGCCCAAAGGCUGCUGCUAUCCCCGGCGCUGGACAGCAACGUAUCCAAGGUGCUCGAUGACGACAGCUUCCUCAUUGAGAUGAUGGAUCGUCCUUCAGUUCCUGAACGCGUCGAUCCCAUUCCAAGCAUGACAUGUGUGGAUGCCAAGAGGUUGCGGUGUUCUGCAAUGCCAGCCAACCUAGUACCCAAGGUCCUCGAUGAUGACAAUACUAAUUCCUGGCCGGCGGCGGUGCCCCCGCUGGAAGACGAGAAUCUCCUCCAUGAGAUCUUCCUCCGCCUCCCUCCAAAGCCAUCCUCGCUUCCCAGUGCCUCCCUCAUCUGCAAGCGCUGGCGCACCAUCCUUUCUGACACCCAAUUCCUCGGCCGCUUUCGCAAACACCACCAGAAGGCCCUGCUUCUUGGCUUCUUCGUAGGGAUGGCCUUGAGAGGAGACGCCAUCUUCACUCCUGUCCUGGAGCCUCUUGAUCGCAUCCCCUCUACAAGAUCUGGAAGUUCACUGGUUGCUGCCAUGGCCUUGCUGUCCUAGUCAAUCCAUCACGGGGCAAGAUUGCUGUGUGGGAUCCCCUCACUGGCCAACAUCACCGUGUGACUUUUCCACCAGGACUGGACACCAAACGUCCGGGAUACUUUCAGUCUACGGUGUUGUGCGCUGAUGCCAAACAUGGGCAUGUGCAUGGAGACUGCUUCUUGAGCCCAUUUAAAUUGGUUUUAAUCUGUGACAUGUACAAGGAGGCAAUCGUUUCUCUCUACGACUCGGUGUCUGGUGUAUGGACAAAUUUUGUCUCAACGGCGACUACUGAUACAACUUUUAUUACAAGGCCCAGCAUCCUUGUCGGAAAUGCAGUAUACUGGUUGUUUUAUGGAGGUGACAUCCUUGUGUUUGAUCUUGAAAGGAAAACCCUUGGUGUGAUCAAGAUGCCAUUAGACAACCAUACUACCAACGACGGGUGUUUUCACAUCUUACGGAUGGAGGAUGGUGGACUUGGCCUUGCUGUUUUGUCUGAAUUGACCAUAAAAUUAUGGGAGAGGAAAUUAAACUAUGAUGGUGUUGUCGAAUGGGUAAUACAGAAAACAAUUCCACUGCAGGGGAUUCUUCCACGGUGUAAUGCCGGCGAAACUGUAAUUUUCGUGGGGUAUAAUGAGGAGACAAAUGUGAUUGUUCUGUCUACCAUAAUUGGCAACUUCAUGCUUCAACUUGACUCGAUGCAGACCAGGCAUAUUAUUAAAAGAUGUCACAUGUCUUAUGACAUCUUUUAUCCAUACACUAAUUUCUAUACCGCAGGGAGAGGAGUUGGAUGGAAGUGGUUGGAUCUGAAACUGUGAACACAUGAAAUCUGCUAAUGUGGUAUGCUACUUGAACAAGUGAGGUAUCUAGAGCUAAAACUCGGGCUGCUGAGGUGCAGAAAUGGUACUUACUGUAGGUUCUUCCAUUUUGUAUGCUGUGGCAAUAUGUUAUCGACAGUGGAACUUUCACUAUAUGUACCAAGUAUUUAGGUUCUUCUACUUCUAUGUGACAUACUGACGUUGCCUAUGAACUUUCACUAUAUGCACAAAGUAUGUAAUGUGUUGGUUACCUGACAUCUGUAGACAUUAGUUGUAUUUGUAAUGCAUGCCUCUGGUACAUGGUCUUUGUGAUGUUAGCCUACUUCUUGUUGAGCAGUAGCUACUUGGUUAAGGUUUUUCUGAAGUGCAAUGGCAGAAGCAAGCCAAGAGAGUGCUCUACUAAAAAAAUAGACUGUUCUGAUGCUUUUGUUUUACCCUGAACAUGUAUAUUCCUUCAAUUGAAAAGAGUGCUUUAGUUUAAGAAAAUUCAUGAUUUAUACAGCUAGGGUGUCAAGUGGGAUCCCACCUAAAUUUCACUUGUAGUGCAUUUUGCAUUUCGUAGUGUAAAUUUUGACACAAAAAUUUGAACUAGAAAAGACAAAAUACACUAAAAGUGAGAUCCCACCAGGAUCCCACCUUGACACCUUAUUUAUUCUCGAGUAGUAUCCAACUCUGUAUCUGCUGUCAAAAAUUUAUCCGUUCUGAAUUGAAUAUGUACUACGAAUUGUUUCGUAUUUACCAUCUUCGACACUUUUCCUUUAAGUUGCUGCAACAAGUUCAUUUUCAGGGAAACCAAGAGACUCUUGAGAACAGUAUCUUCUCGUGCAGGGAAAGAAAGUGGUCCUUUCUAAGUGCAAAACAGUUUAUGCUUUUAAAAAUAGUGCUCCUACACUUAUAUUAUGGCUUGUGUUUUGGUCUGAAUGUGUGUAUGCAUAGGUAAAUGAUACACAUGGGCUGCACCUUUCUAAGUGGCAAAGAGUAUUUAACACAGGCAGCCUCUCGUAUGAAAUGCGAAGGAAAUCUCAGAUGACUUGGGCAAAUGGACAAUGUUACAGGCAUCGGCACUUGGCACAUACGAGACUACAUGUGAAGAACCAAGGGUGUCAGAAACGCCUUGGAUUUGUUUCCUGGCAUCUUGUUUGUAGCCAUUCACAAGUUUAUUGUGUCCUAGAUUGGGAUGUUAUAUGUGUGUGGACAAGAUUUCAGCAAGAAAUGUGGCCACGAUGGCGGUAUCUGUGUCCACGACGGCGGGAGUUGUGGCCUCGGCGACAGGAGUGGUGUCUGGUAUGGUCUCGGGCAAGGGGGGCACCGUGGUCUCCAUGGGUCGAACUAGGGCACCGGUGGCGACUGGAAGAGAAUGGGGAGGGGGUGUGUGGCUGGCUGGAGGGCCCGGGACGAACAUAUAUUCCUGUGACGUGGAUGUGCGAGCUGGCCGCUAGGCCGCAAAACUGUCCCAAAAAUGAGGGGAAAAUGUGCCAAGAUGGGUGUGUCUGUGGGGCGCGGUAUGUUUAUGUGUCGCCAUUGGGACUCGCAUUUUAUCCCCGCGGGGCCUGCCGUUGGAGAUGGCAUUACAUUUGGUGUCCUGCGGUGCAUCUGGUCAUUGAGAAAUUAACAAGCUAGUUGGCCACUGCAUCUACAUCUAUGUAUG